AACGAACGCUGGCGGCAGGCCUAACACAUGCAAGUCGAGCGCCCUUUCGGGGGAGCGGCGGACGGGUGAGUAACGCGUGGGAAUAUGCCCUUCUCUACGGAAUAGCCUCGGGAAACUGAGAGUAAUACCGUAUACGCCCUGUGGGGGAAAGAUUUAUCGGGGAAGGAUUAGCCCGCGUUGGAUUAGGUAGUUGGUGGGGUAAUGGCCUACCAAGCCGACGAUCCAUAGCUGGUUUGAGAGGAUGAUCAGCCACACUGGGACUGAGACACGGCCCAGACUCCUACGGGAGGCAGCAGUGGGGAAUCUGAGACAAUGGGGGCAACCCUGAUCUAGCCAUGCCGCGUGAGUGAAGAAGGCCUUAGGGUUGUAAAGCUCUUUCAGCUGGGAAGAUAAUGACGGUACCAGCAGAAGAAGCCCCGGCUAACUCCGUG
rnacentral:rRNA from 1 species